rnacentral:rRNA from 1 species
GAUCUGGUUCAGGAUGAACGCUAGCUACAGGCUUAACACAUGCAAGUCGAGGGGCAGCAUGGUCUUAGCUUGCUAAGACUGAUGGCGACCGGCGCACGGGUGAGUAACGCGUAUCCAACCUGGCCCUUAGUAGGGAACAGCCCGGCGAAAGUCGGAUUAAUGCCCUAUGUUUUCCAAUGAUGGCAUCUGACUUGGAACAAAGAUUCAUCGCUAAGGGAUGGGGAUGCGUCUGAUUAGCUUGUCGGCGGGGUAACGGCCCACCGAGGCGACGAUCAGUAGGGUUCUGAGAGGAAGGUCCCCCACAUUGGUACUGAGACACGGACCAAACUCCUACGGGAGGCAGCAGUGAGGAAUAUUGGUCAAUGGGCGUAAGCCUGAACCAGCCAAGUAGCGUGCCAGGAAGACUGCCCUAUGGGUUGUAAACUGCUUUUAUGCGGGAAUAAAGUCAGGUACGCGUACCUGUUUGUAUGUACCGCAUGAAUAAGGACCGGCUAAUUCCGUGCCAGCCGCAGC